CUAUACAUAGCAAACUGUGAUGCCAUUCUUUUGGUAGGUACUAACCAGUGCAUACUGGGAACUUCCCUCAAGACUUGCCGUUUUGGAGAUGCUCUUCAUCUAGGCAUGACUUUUUGGCCUUUAUCAAAGUCACUCACAUAUUUUCACUUGCCCAUUUCUUUUGCAUCCAAUACAUAAAAUAUUUGCUGCCUAAUAUAUCCCUCCCCCCUUGACAUGUG